rnacentral:ncRNA from 1 species
UCUCAACAUGGGAAACCUCAUUCAGCCUGGACACGGACAGGAUUGAUUGAUUGAUAGCUCUUUCUCGAUUCCGUGGGUGGUGGUGCAUGGCUGUUCUUAGUUGGUGGAGCGAUUUGUCUGGUUAAUUUUGAUAACAAACGAGACUUUGAAAUGCUAACUAGUAGAUAGAGACCGACUUUCACCAUGUUGGCCAGGCUAGUCUCGAACUUCUGACCUCAAGUGAUCCGCCCGUCUCAGCCUCCCAACGUGCUGAGAUUACAGGCAUGAGCCUUUGUGCCUGGCC